rnacentral:tRNA from 1 species
GGGUAGUUGGCGUAGUGCGUAAAGCCUCGGCUUACUAAGCCGAAGAUCCCGGGUUCGAUUCCCGGUUGGGUCA